AGGAAAAGUGCCUUGUACGUGAGA
rnacentral:siRNA from 1 species